UCCAAGCCAAAGACUGACAGCAAAGCAGAUUGCAGGUUAGAAGGUGGUGACUGUGACAUCACAGGGAGUGACAUGGACUGACAUGAUCCACUUUUGGAAUGACAUCUAAGAGAUACCAUCCUUCUAUGGCUAUUUCCAGAAGAAUUUCACUCUCAUCCAAAGACAGUCAAGGGAAGGAGAGCCAAGAAGCCUACACUAGACAUUCAGAUCUGACAAAGUGUUGAGUGGAAGAUUAUGCUGGAGGGGAUGGGCAGAGACACGAAUCACAAGACAACAGGUGAGAACCUGUGUUGCCAAAACAAACAUUAGAAAAGAUGAGUUCAGAGAGGAGCUCUUCCUACCUUCUCCAAAUCUACAGUGAAGAAGAUGACAGCAGAAACGCAAAGUUGUUCUCUGGGUGUGCAGUGCUGGGUUCACCAAAUCAGUGCCUACAAUAAAGCAAAAGUAAAGAAUCACAGGAGGGCCGUGGAUUUAGCUCAGGGUCACCGCACCUGCCUUGCAAGUGCAAGGUCCUGAAUUCUUUCCUGGGUAUUGAAAAAAAAAACAAAAAGAAUUGCAAGAAACUGUGUAUAUUCCUGACACUUCAUUAAAAGAACAGGAAGUGCUUUCCACAAGCUGUGCUAGAAUCAAACCAGAUUAAAAGUGUCAUCAUUUUUAGGUCAAUAAUUCACUUUACAUCUUGCGAACAUUAUCAGUUUAACCCAAAGCUGUUUGUGUCUUCAUAAUUUCCAGAUGUGUCUUGACAAGGGCUGCUGCAAGAUGAACAAAUAGGCCCGACUCUGAAUUAUGAGAGGACUCCUCUGAUAUGAGCCGCGAGGCUCUGAGAACUUUCCACUCAUUUGGUGUUUAGUAAUUCUCUUCAGACAAGACAAUGAAAACCAAACAAGCCUUCAUGUCAAAUGAACGGGAAACCAGGGAAGCCAUGCCACGAAUAAAGACCAGAUCUUCAUGAUCUAAGAGUUUGCCCUCAUUGUUUGAUUGAUGACUCAUUCAUUUAUGCAAGAAGGAUUUGUGAAAACUCUACAGGUCUGGGAGUUCUGCUCAGUAAGAUGUUAAGUUUUAGCAUGAG
rnacentral:lncRNA from 1 species